AUAUGUGAAGGUGAUAUGGCUGUGACUUCUAUCACCUUGUUGAACCUCAUGUUUGGUCUGAAAGUCUGAUUGGCUAAAGUGAAGGUUUCAUCUUUUCUCAGUCUUCUGUAAAUCCUCCUCCCCAAAGGUAGGGUCUUGGGUGGAUAAUCCCAGCAUGCAGAAAGUCACUCCCAGGCAGGAAUAUACAGAAGAUUGUGCUCCUCUGAAAAGCCACCAAAGAAAACAGACAAGGAAAGAAUGUGAAGGAAAAUAAAAGGUUGAUUCUGUGAUUUCCUACUAUGGAAGUGUGGGAAAAAGU
rnacentral:sRNA from 1 species